rnacentral:piRNA from 1 species
UGCUGUAAGUGCUCGCAACAUUAUGC